UACGGGGGGGGCAAGCGUUGUUCGGAAUUACUGGGCGUAAAGGGCUCGUAGGCGGCCAACUAAGUCGGAUGUGAAAUCCCCAGGCUUAACCUGGGAACUGCAUCCGAUACUGGUGGGCUUGAGUUCGGGAGAGGGAUGUGGAAUUCCAGGUGUAGCGGUGAAAUGCGUAGAUAUCUGGAGGAACACCGGUGGCGAAGGCGGCAUCCUGGACCGACACUGACGCUGAGGCGCGAAAGCCAGGGGAGCAAACGGG
rnacentral:rRNA from 1 species